rnacentral:lncRNA from 1 species
ACUCUCCCUGCCGUCGCCGCCCGGGACCGGGUGACAUUGAGGUUUUCGUCUAUCGCCGCUGGGCCGAUAGGGCUUCUUUUUAAGAUUUGGCUUUCCAAGUAAGAUUUUUGUUUGCCUGCUUUUCUCCUGGAAUUUUUUUGUUUUUGGUCGAAGAAGCAGGUAACUUGCAUAUCUUAAGGAAAACAUUGUUUUUGCUUUGCUUUUGUUGUUUAAAGAUCCUAAAACGUACCGUGAUUCCUUUACGUUACUAAUAAUUGGAAAGUGUGUUAAAUCAAGGGUUCGCUUAAUGUUCUUUAGCCUUUGUACAUAGAAUAUAUAAAUGUCGUGAGUCAUCUUUACGAGGUU